UCGGUUCAAAUCCCAUCGCGGCCGCCUGGGUUAAUAUAAAAAUAGUCAGUGUUGGGGUGGAUAGUGGUUUGCGCAUAAUCACUUAUAAAUUUGCCUCCCUCGCUUAUAAAACCUAUUUGUUGGGGAGGAUAGUGGACAAUCACUUAUAAAUUUGCCCCCCAAUUAUUUAUAUACACAUACACACUUGCGCAUAAAUAAUUUAAAAAAUAGUCAGUGUUGGGGGUGGAUAGUGGACAAUCACUUAUAAAUUAGCCUCCCCCUCGCUUAUAAAACCUAUUUGUUGGGGAGGAUAGUGGUAUGGACCAUAAUUGUCCGAUCACUUAUAAAUUUGCCCCCCAAUUAUUUAUAUACACAUACACACAUACUUAUAUCUAAAUAUAAAAAAAUAGUUAGUGUUGGGGGUGGAUAGUGGACAAUCACUUAUAAAUUUGCCUUCCCCUCACUUAUAAAACCUAUUUGUUGGGGAGGAUAGUGAUAUGGACCAUAAUUGUCCAAUCAUUUAUAAAUUUGCCCCCCAAUUAUUUCAUACACAUUUAUAUCUAAAUUUAAUUGCAUAAUAAUACAUACCAGUACACAGGGCCGAGAAAAUUGCGAGGCCUUAAAAAAUUUUUA